rnacentral:rRNA from 1 species
GAUGAACGCUGACAGAAUGCUUAACACAUGCAAGUCAACUUGAAUUUGGGUUUUUAACUUAGGUUUGGGUGGCGGACGGGUGAGUAACGCGUAAAGAACUUGCCUCACAGCUAGGGACAACAUUUGGAAACGAAUGCUAAUACCUAAUAUUGUGAUAAUAGGGCAUCCUAUAAUUAUGAAAGCUAUAAGCGCUGUGAGAGAGCUUUGCGUCCCAUUAGCUAGUUGGAGAGGUAACGGCUCACCAAGGCGAUGAUGGGUAGCCGGCCUGAGAGGGUGAUCGGCCACAAGGGGACUGAGACACGGCCCUUACUCCUACGGGAGGCAGCAGUGGGGAAUAUUGGACAAUGGACCAAGAGUCUGAUCCAGCAACUCUGUGUGCACGAUGAAGUUUUUCGGAAUGUAAAGUGCUUUCAGUUGGGAAGAAAGAAAUGACGGUACCAACAGAAGAAGUGACGGCUAAAUACGUG